CUACGGGGUGCUCCAGUGAGGAAUAUUGCACAAUGGGGGGAACCCUGAUGCAGCAACGCCGCGUGGAGGAUGACGCAUUUCGGUGUGUAAACUCCUUUUAUAUGUCAAGAAAAUGACGGUAGCAUAUGAAUAAGCACCGGCUAACUCCGUGUCAGCAGCCGCGGUAAUACGGAGGGUGCAAGCGUUACUCGGAAUCACUGGGCGUAAAGGACGCGUAGGCGGGUUGGAAAGUCAGGUGUGAAAUCCUACAGCUUAACUGUAGAACUGCACUUGAAACUUCUAAUCUAGAGUAUGGGAGGGGGAGAUGGAAUUAGUGGUGUAGGGGUAAAAUCCGUAGAUAUCACUAGGAAUACCUAAAGCGAAGGCGAUCUCCUGGAACAUUACUGACGCUAAGGCGUGAAAGUGUGGGGAGCAAACAGGAUUAGAUACCCUCGUAGUC
rnacentral:rRNA from 1 species